AUCUGUGACGGAGAACAAACAAUUGUAAUGUAUUCAGCCACAAACCAUAGUAUUAUUGUAGAACUAGGUCUCUAGGACAAUGAGGAGCAGGGAGGGUAUAAAUACAGGAGCACAAGGCUGAAGCCUUCCUUUGUACUAAGCCUGGUUUGAGUGUUUGGCGAACCGAUCGCCAAGGCAGCAACAACAAAAGGUAGUGCAUUAAAUUGUGAUUUUAACAUCUGCUGAAACACUGCAUUUUAUAUCGCUUUCCUUUCCAUGUACUUGUAUUUAAUCUAAUGUAUUUGAUUAUUCCACUACAGGAAGCUUGGGCCUUUCGUGUUGUUCUUAAGUCCUGUUUAAGUGUUUGUAGGACAGCGAUCAAGGACAGCUAUUAACAACAAAGGUUAUUACCUGCCUCUGUGUUAACAUUUACUGUAAUUGCAUUUGAAUGUACCUUAAUUAAUUUAUUGAUUGCAUCAAAUCUGUUUACAUUUAGGCUAGCCUUUAUUGUAUAUUUUAUAACAGCAAGAAGCUACUAAUUCAUAGGCCACGGUUUUAUUUGUGCUGCAUUAUUUUCUUUGGCUAACGUUGUUAUUAUUGAGGGCCGGGUAAGCAUCAUCAUUUGGGCCAGACACGGCAGUGUGAGGCAGGCUUAUGGUUCUCUGUAGGUUCUGGGCCUGUUGCUGUGCUGUGUUUUAUUUAAGUAUAAUUGUGGUUCUGAUUACAUAUUACCACAUCAGCCUCUGGUUCUAUUCACCCCGGACUUGUCCCUGUUUGGGGGAUCCCUCACUCCUAGUGAAGGUGGCUUCAUCAAGCAUCUUUUAACGUGUUAGAUGGUAAUAACCUAUUAAACACAUAUUAAAUGGUAAUAACAAGGGAAUAUGUCAUCAUCACCAAUUCCCCUUCAGGCUACAUUAAAAAUAUAUUGUUGUCAGGUUUACCUGUCACAGUUAAGUUCGCUCCAUGGUUAAUAGUAUAUCCCCAUUCUGAUUGUUCUGUUAUUUUUGUCCUGAACUGGUACUCAGCAGAAUCACUCUGUCUCACGUCUUUGAUUCUCAGGUUACACGUUCCAUAACACUUGGACCUGGUAUGUUGAUGAUCCUGACAGCUGUAUUCAACCCGACCUUCAUAGUCCGUAUCACUUCCUAUAUCAACUGGCUGAUUUCUGUCUUCUUUGGUGAACCACAGUGUUUCCAGGGCUGUAGCAUAGCAGUGCUUUUCAUGGUAA